GUUAUGACCAAUCUAAGAUUCACGGCAAAAACCGGCAACGCUGAUAGACGUAAAACGCAAAGUUUCGAUACAAUAAUUUUUAGCCUUAAGUAUCUAAACGAAAGUUGUAGAUUACGUUAAACCAUGAUCAUGCCUAAAAAGAACUCCCAAAAAGGACUUCGUAUGAAGAAGAUACAAAUUUACUAAGUGUCGUAACAGCGAUAAACAGCUAAAAACUCGAAAUAAAGAUCGAGCGAUUUUUAGCCGAUGCAACUUAAACAAGAGUUGAAGGUCUCGACAAUAAUAAUUCGAUGGUAAAAAGAGAAACGAAAACGGACGUCGGAUAAAGAACUUAUGGAUUUUUAAUGAAGUUAUCGUGUCCCGGCCUAUUAAUUAAAAAUAAAUUCAAAAUUAGCCGACGGAGUCUAAAUGAUAGUUGUAGAGUAUUUUCUCACCUUUGCGUGGAUAUAAAGAACGUCAAAAACGGAGCCCGUAUGCGAAAGUUACGGAUUUUACAAGUUCGUGGCACACACACCGAAACGAUUUACGCCCAGCGUACUCGGAUGCUAGGCUUCGGAUCGUCCACGUCGACCAAACACUUCGCCCGAGGAUGCGGUCAGCAUUGAUGCAAGCGAACACCCAGCGUAACCUCGGAGUACGCCCAACGUACGAGGUACGCCUCGCGUAAGCCCGAAGUACGCCCAGCGUACCGAGGACCUCCAGCUCCUAUAAAUAGAGUGCGAGGGUGCCGGCUACCCUUGCUAAAUUUCAUCAUUUCUCUCACAUUUUCACCUCGUUUUUUGUGCCGACAACAUCCCGACUUCCCGGUUUCAUAUCUAAGCCCCGACGAAGGUCCGAAGCCCCGAGAUUCCAGAGAAUCUCGUCACUUUCCGGUCGAGGUGCCGCCCGGGAAAAUCUCGUUUUCUUCAAAUCACGCACUUUCUUCGGUGAGUUCAUACCCCUAUAAACUACAUUUUGAAAUGUGUUAUCAGUGCUUUUAUACACUUUUNCAAUACUUUUUAUAUACACUUUUAAGGGGGGGAAUACAAGUAAACACACGAUUAUUAUCGUGUGUAACCUAAAGUUUCACUAUAUACUCUUUUUAUCAAGUAAAUCAUAUGUGAUUCAUAACUACUACGUGGAACCUUUCGUACGCAAAAUAUAUCACGAUAACAUCUUGUCUUUUGAAAUUAAAUAUGUUGUUAUACAUAUACGAAUCAAACACUUUAUUUAUACUUUGAGUAUAUGUGUUCAUUUAUGUCACUACAAAAGUUACACAUUACAUAACAAGUGAGCAUUUCACUAGGGUUUACCAUACAAACGAAACAAACUUUUGGAAAAACUAUAAUAGUUUACGACAAACAUUUUUACAUGUUAAAAACUCUUUUUCAAACUGUCUUACAUACUUUAUGUUUCCUUUCGAACGUUGUUAGAAUCGUGUUUCAAACAAAGGUCUUCUUACACUUAAAAUUGUUCUUAUCAAACAAACUACUUUCAAAUCGUUUUAUAAACUGACCUCAAGUCAUCAUUUCUUAUUUAUUAAAUUUUUCAAAGGUUUUACAAAACUUCUUUUAUAUUUUUAUAUUGUUAAAUGCAUGCCUAUAUAUGUAUCGUUAUAUAAGUAAUGUUUGAAGGACUUAGGACGGCUAGCUCGCUUUAUUUCCUUUUCCUCGUUGGGAUGUGGCUUUAGGGCAUCGGUUAUUCGUCCGAAUGUCGUCUAAAUAUUAGUUAUAUAUAUCAUAAGUACAUAUAUAGAUAUAAAAGUUUACGUCAGUUGGUUCAGUACCUUUGAGUAGCAAAGGCAUAUUUCGGUUAUACACAUACAAUACUAGAAACUAUAAUGGGUAUAGUUAGGAGAUACUACAUACCAUCCCAAGUACAAGGGAUCACACAAGAGUCAGUCUAUUCAUGAGUCUAUACAAAUACAUUACAUACUAUAUGAAGAGAUACGAUUACAUACAAUUUCAAGAUAUACAAUUUCAAGAGAUACGAUUACAUAAGAUAGUGUACUAGAUAUUCAUGAAAUUUUACAUAUUACAAGUACCAUAUCAAAGAGAUAUUUUCAUAUACAAGAACAAAUAGACAUUUUCAUACGUAAAUCUGUUUUAUACUAGGUUUUGUGAGACGUUUCACGUACGUUCGAGUAUGCAUUAUUAAGUCUUGUAUUAUAUACCAUAAUCCCUUGUAGGGGGAGCGUGAUACUUGUGUAUAGAUCUAUACGGGAUUGACAAUCCCACACCUAAGCUGUUAGCUACAGCUAGGCCAGCAGGCCUGGGGUGACAAACGUCAUAACAUUCCAAAGCCUGAAGAACGUUGUUACAGGCAGUCUGGGUCAUUAGCAUGGUUAUAAAACUCACAUGGAGUAUUAAAAACAUGUUGAUUUACAGAGUUAUCAAAUACCUUAGCGAUUAUAUACGUAUACAAAUCUACCAUUUUAGGCAUGAAAAACACCAUGGUAGUUCAUUUUUGGGACUUUUAAACUACCACUCACUUAUAAGCAGAUAUUGGAUUUCUAAAAUUAAACAUUCAAAACAAUCGGGUCUUGGUAGAAGGCUACUUUUUAUACUAGUAGAAAAUAUGGGAUUUUCUAGAGUUUUCAAACGUUUACAAUUACUUACUAUCAUGUCCAUUGGUACAAAAUUUCCUUCAAACAUUGCAGGUCUUUCUUUAAAGUUUUACAAAUCAAAGUCACAUAAAUACUUAUGAAUUCACCAGCAUUAUUGUUGAUACUCGCUUUCAAAAUAACUUGUAUUCCCAGGACACAGAUAGACAGAUACCACUACCAGGUUCUGUGGAGACGGAGUGGUCAAGACUCGUCUUUUAUUUUGAAUAUUCAUUUUGUAGAAUUAUACUAUGAAAGAACUCAAAUGUAAUUAAAAUUAUACUAUUAAUGCAAUGGAUGAUGUUGUUGCUUAUUUACUACUUUGCAUUGUUGUGAUACAUUACAUGACGUCCUCCGCCCCAGAACGUUUCCGCCGUUCUCGGUUUUGGGGUGUGACAGAUUGGUAUCAGAGCAUUGUUUAUAGGGAAUUGAGUAUAUCAACUCAUAAAAGAUAUACAAACUAUAAAUACAAUAGGGAUUAAAAUACUCUGACAAAGAAUCUAUACUUUUAAAUAAUAAAAUAUUUAAGUAAGUAUACAUGCCUGCAUUCAUACUAAAAUCAGUGUCACUAGGACAGAACAAAAGUAUUACGAUUGUUGGGCAGCACAAGUAGACUUAGAGACAUAUAGUCAAAACUGGGAUGAUAUAGCCUGAUCAAAUAUAUUAUCCGAGGGUUGACUAGCAUGUGUCUAAGUGUGGCUGUGAGUUGCAACAAGUCUAAAAACUUACCCACAAUACCACAAUGAGAACAUAGAACAUAAACCUAAAAUACUAUAGGAGUAUUUCGUGUAUUACUAUAAACUACUUAUGUGUUAGAUUCUUAUACCCCAAUUACCUCAUAGAUAACAUAGCUGGACCCCAUCCCCACGACGACCCGUAUUUCCUAAACAAAGGCAAUGAUGGAUGGUUCAGAGAAGAACCAGAGAAUGAUCAUCCAAUCCCUUUUGAAUGAUCACCAUGCUAAAGACCUUUCGGAUGAUGAUAACUCCGAACUCGAGGAUGAGAAUCUACCCCUGGUAACUCCCAAUUCAAACCCUAACCCUCGUCUAGCUCUUCAUGGCUCGACACUUCCUUGGACAGAAUGCCUGAAAACAUGGAGCGAAGAGAAAAAUCAACCAAUGUCGUUUAAAGGAGACCGAAACUAUUACAACUUAAGGGGAGCUCAACAGGAAAAGUUUUACCAAUCCUGAUCCGUAGAGUUACUCAAAACGAAAUUCAGGGCAGGACGACUCUCCAAUAUACCGAAGAGGUUAAAUGACAAUACAAGAAUUCACAUCAUCUACACCAAUCAUCUUGAAAACACUCAUGAGAGAUCUGAGAGAGACCAUGAGACCCUGCUGCUAGCAUUAGCUAAAACACGAGCUGAAGUCAUAGAGAUACGAGUACGCCAGAGAGUGUAUGAAAGACACCUUCUUGAUAAUGGAACGUCAAUUGGCUGAACUAAGAGUUCACCAGAAGGAUGACCGCCACCAGUAAGAAAUGCUUUAUUUCCCUUCCUUGUUUAAAGGAAUCAUUUUCCUGUGUAUGUCCUAUGUAGCAUUUUUCUAUGUAACUAUCUUGUACUGUAAGUACUGUUAGUUAGGCCUUUAUGCGGCCAAAACCUUUCUACUCUGGAUAUGAUGUAAGACCUUCUUCAAGGUCAAGUUUUCCUAAACUCAUUACAUCUUAAACAUCAAUGAUAUUGAGAGUCGGCUAACUUCCGUGUCACUCUUUGUUCAAAAACCCUCAUCAUACCUUCGUUGGAGUCUAUCUGAAACAUGCUUUAGUCAAGUCAUUGGACUAUAGUAAUUUAACUCCGGAGACAUUUCCAUGUCUCUUUUAGUGGUUGGAUGAUGUUAGUCACUAACCAAUGAUACCUCGGCUUGAACGACAAACGUCUUAAGACCACUCUACAAACAUACCUCUACACUGUACUAGGACUGCAUCAUAGGGAUGUAGGUCAAACCAUCAUGAACAUACUUCCAAUCCGUACUAGGACUGCAUCAUAGGGAUGUAGGUCAAAUUUUUUAGAACAUACUCUUACUCUUUACUUAAAGCGAUCAAAAUACAUCUAGGUUCAACCAUAAUAUCUCACGAACUCCUUUUUCUUCCAUGUUACAUAAUCAUGUCGCCGAAGAAAAGUAAUCAACCCAUCAGCCCAACACCAACUCUUCAGAUUGAUGCAGCUACCUUUCAAGCUGCAGUCUCAGCUGCCGUAACAGCUGUUUUGAAUCACCUUAACGCUAACAACGCAAAUGUUAGCGGGAUGGUUUUCAAUAAUUCCAAUCCAUGUAACAACCAAGUACACCCACGAGUAACAAACUACCAAGACACUCCGAACCUCAAACCAAAGAGCAAUAAACGAAAAUUCCGGGAGAAAGUUAAAGGCAAAUCACCUCGAGGGACAAACAAGAAACCAUCGUCGGUGGCAGCCUUCGCAGCCACGACAUCUGCAACUCCUACCAUCAACACUACUAGUAUCCCAAUUAUCCCUAACCCGACAAGACAUUAUGUUGGAAACCUACUGAAGUGUAAUAAGUGCAACUUCCAUCACCUAGGUAGUUGUCGUCUGUUACACUGCAAGACCUGCAAUAAGAACAGACACACUACCCGCUUCUACAGGACUCGAGUCCAACACAUUACUUCAACCACCAAUGUCGAAAUUUCUCGGAUAUGCCAUCUAUGUGGUUUAAUGGGACACUUCAAGAGGGAUUGCCCAACAAGAGAAGAACGACAGUGGAACAGGACGAGUUUGACCUCAGAAUGGAAAAAGGCAAUAAAGGACCCAACUAUAAUGGGGACUCACUUCCAAUCGUCAGCAUUAAGUAUGAUGUUAAACAUGUUUAAAACUAGUGCAGCUCGAGUCUUAUCUUUUGAGAAAUCCCGUCAGUAAAGGGGACCCUCGUGCUGCGUAUACUUACCUUUUGUAGUAUACCUUGCUCGCAACAAUAGUCUUGUAGUAAAACCAAAGUACUGUAACUCUGUUAAAAGUUGCACUGUUGUGUUUUGUCUGUAACACCCUUAUGAUCAAAUCUAAUACCGUUAUUUCCAAGUAAGUCCGAUGUCAUCAUACAACUUCACUCAAUUCGAUCCUCGCAAUACCAAUUUUGUGCGCACUUCUCCUUCUCCGAAAACAUCUUUCUAGCGAAGCCGUCAUUCCAGAACACUGAAGUACUCAUGCAUAGAGUACCUCAUGUUUCUCAUCUUUUCCAAAGAAAGCUCAGUAAACCUCCCCAAAGUAUCACUCGUACAGUACGUCAAGUUCAAUCUAAAGACCCAUAUGGUUGAUCUAUCGCUGAAGAAUGUAUACAUAGCGGUGGUAUAUAAUCAAAGUUCUACAGGCUUAGAAUUGAUGAUUCCACUUUAACUUCUUUUCCUCGUUGGGAUGUGGGCUUAAAGAAGAAUCAUUUAUUCGACAACCUUCUCAAUCUUAAAUUAUAUACAACUCGUAUACCCGAUACUGUGAUAGAUGAACCAGGUAUGAGUUCUAUUAUGAACUUCAGGACAGAGACUGCCCAAGACUGCGAAUGAUCUUGCUUCCGUGAGAAUAAACUUAGAAAUACCUAUCCUUUUCUCUAAUUCAUGAGUAGUCAUACUAACUUUUAGAUCUUCACGACAGCUAAUCCACCCCAAGGUUUUAGCAUCAUAAUCAGUAGGAGUUGGUUAAGUCUACAUUGAGCUGACAUCAGGUGCUUUGAUAAAGCAGUUCGUCCUAACCUCCCUAAACAACGAAGCCCUAGUUAUUUACAGCCAUGAACCAAGUACGAACCCUCUCAUCAUUUCGUGUAUGCAAGCUCAGAAAUGCUUACGAAAGGAAUAUCAUGCAUUCCUUGCACACAUCGCCGAGAUGUGUCGAGAAGUGAAGGACAUUCAAGAACAUCCAAGAAGUACGCGGUUUUCCCGACACCUUUCCAGAAGGACAACCGAGACUACCAACACAGCGUCAAGUCGAAUUCAGAAUCGACUUAGUUCCAGGGGCUACCCUAGUAGCCAAAUCACCUUAUAGUCUAGCUCCAACCGAGAUGCGAGAACUUCCUAGCGAGCUUAACAAACUCCUCAGAAGGGGAUUCUUUAGGACAAGUUUCUCACUUGGAAGAGCACCAGAAUUGUCUAUAAACAAGAAAGAGCAUUCCAAACGUUAAAGUAAGUAUGAUGCAUCGCACCAACAUUAUCCCUCCCAAAAGGAGAUAUAAUAUUUCGUGGUGUAAUGCGAUACAUCCAACCAAGGGCUUGGUUGUGUUCUUAAGCAAGAGGAAAAGUCACUGCCUAUACCUCAAGACAGCCUAAGACACAGGAAGUUAACUAUUCAACACGUGAUCUUGAAUCAUGAGCAGCGGUAAUUGCUCUAAAGAUCUGGAGACACUACUUGUAGGGUACAAGGUGUAAUACUCUCACAGACCACAGAAACACUCAACACACAUUCGACAAAGAAAAGUUAUCAUAUCAGUGAAGUCAAACGAAAGAAGCAAAGUCGUAUCCCGAUAGUGAAAGGUUCGCUGGAAUGCUAGGCGAAGACCAAUGUUCACUUAAGAACACGAGUAGCAAAUAAAACUUCUGUCCGUAGCAUGAUAAUUAAUACUGCUUAAACUCGAAUUUCGGGACGAAAUUCCCUCUAACAGGGGGAUGAUGUGACAACCCGAUAUUUUGAGACAAUAAAAUGUAACACCAAUCAAAUUUAGGCCAAAAAUAUAACUUUCCUAAAAAUCUUAUUUGGGUUAAAUAAAGUAGUAGGAAUCGUAUCAAGGUUUUCGUACAUAUAAAGAACACUAAAAUCCGAGUUAUAACGAAGAAGUUAUGACCAAUCUAAGAUUCACGGCAAAAAUUUGCAACGUUGAUAGACGUAAAACGCAAAGUUUCGAUACAAUAAUUUUUAGCCUUAAGUACCUAAACGAAAGUCGUAGAUUACGUUAAACCAUGAUCAUGCCUAAAAAUAACUCCCAAAACGGACAUCGCAUGAAGAAGAUACAAAUUUACUAAGUUUCGUAACAGCGAUAAACAGCUAAAAACUCGAAAUAAAGAUUGAGCGAUUUUUAGCCGACGCAAUUUAAACGAGAGUUAAAGGUCUCGAAAAUAAUAGUUCGAUGGUAGAAAGACAAACGAAAACGGACGUUGGAUAAAGAACUUAUGGAUUUUUAACGAAGUUAUCGUGUCCUGGCCUAUGAAUUAAAAAAUAAGUAAAAAUAAAUUCAAAAUUAGCC
rnacentral:lncRNA from 1 species